GUAGGGAAUCUUGCGCAAUGGGCGAAAGCCUGACGCAGCCAUGCCGCGUGAAUGAUGAAGGUCUUAGGAUUGUAAAAUUCUUUCACCGGGGACGAUAAUGACGGUACCCGGAGAAGAAGCCCCGGCUAACUUCGUGCCAGCAGCCGCGGUAAUACGAAGGGGGCUAGCGUUGCUCGGAAUUACUGGGCGUAAAGGGAGCGUAGGCGGAUAGUUUAGUCAGAGGUGAAAGCCCAGGGCUCAACCUUGGAAUUGCCUUUGAUACUGGCUGUCUUGAGUUUGGGAGAGGUGAGUGGAACUCCGAGUGUAGAGGUGAAAUUCGUAGAUAUUCGGAAGAACACCAGUGGCGAAGGCGACUCACUGGCCCAAUACUGACGCUGAGGCGCGAAAGCGUGGGGAGCAAACAGGAUUAGAUACCCUUGUAGUCC
rnacentral:rRNA from 1 species